UACGGGGGGGGCAAGCGUUGUUCGGAAUUACUGGGCGUAAAGGGCUCGUAGGCGGCCAACUAAGUCAGACGUGAAAUCCCUCGGCUUAACCGGGGAACUGCGUCUGAUACUGGAUGGCUAGAGUUUGGGAGAGGGAUGCGGAAUUCCAGGUGUAGCGGUGAAAUGCGUAGAGAUGCGGAGGAACACCGAUGGCGAAGGCAGCCCCCUGGGUCGACACUGACGCUCAGGCACGAAAGCGUGGGGAGCAAACAGG
rnacentral:rRNA from 1 species